rnacentral:rRNA from 1 species
UGAGUAACCUGCCCUUAACUCUGGGAUAAGCCUGGGAAACUGGGUCUAAUACCGGAUAUGACUCCUCAUCGCAUGGUGGGGGGUGGAAAGCUUUAUUGUUGGUUUUGGAUGGACUCGCGGCCUAUCAGCUUGUUGGUGAGGUAAUGGCUCACCAAGGCGACGACGGGUAGCCGGCUGAGAGGGUGACCGGCCACACUGGGACUGAGACACGGCCCAGACCUCCGUACGGGGAGGCAG